rnacentral:rRNA from 1 species
GAUGAGCGCCGGCGGCGUGCCUAAUACAUGCAAGUCGAGCGAACGGACGAGAAGCUUGCUUCUCUGAUGUUAGCGGCGGACGGGUGAGUAACACGUGGAUAACCUACCUAUAAGACUGGGAUAACUUCGGGAAACCGGAGCUAAUACCGGAUGAUAUUUUGAACCGCAUGGUUCAAAAGUGAAAGACGGUCUUGCUGUCACUUAUAGAUGGAUCCGCGCUGCAUUAGCUAGUUGGUAAGGUAACGGCUUACCAAGGCAACGAUGCAUAGCCGACCUGAGAGGGUGAUCGGCCACACUGGAACUGAGACACGGUCCAGACUCCUACGGGAGGCAGCAGUAGGGAAUCCUCCGCAAUGGGCGAAAGCCUGACGGAGCAACGCCGCGUGAGUGAUGAAGGUCUUCGGAUCGUAAAACUCUGUUAUUAGGGAAGAACAUAUGUGUAAGUAACUGUGCACAUCUUGACGGUACCUAAUCAGAAAGCCACGGCUAACUACGUG